rnacentral:tRNA from 1 species
GGUGCCGUGGUCGAGAGGAGGAGGCACUUGCCUUCGGAGCAAGGAAUACACGCGGGUUCGAAUCCUGCCGGCACCUCCA